UAUGGAAGGAGGCGGGAGGCAGCAGGAGUUAUGAGCUCUUUGUUUCUGGCCUGGGGUCCAGAGGAAGAGACGGCUUUGAGGAUGCUGCCUGCACAGCUUCCGUCCUGCAACUCACCUUAAGCUCUCCAUCUGCCAGGGCAAUUACCAGAGGCCAGAACACUCUCAUGUGGAUGAAAGAAUUUGAGAAGAACAAAUAAUUGAGGACAGAAGUUUUGGGUUUCUUUGUUGAUCUUCCUGCUUCCCAUGGUCUGGAUAUUAAGCUGAGUCUCUGAAACACCCACCUGGUCCAGCCAUGGACACCCUACACUUGAGAUCCCAGGAGAAAUAUUGGCUUAUAAGAUAAAUCAACAGAGAAACACUGUUUGGAACUUCUCUAGACCAAGUGUUCAGGGGACCUGGGUCCCUGAGUGGACGUUUACGUGUGAGUUGGACUGGGGACUUUUACUGGGCAGGAGGUACCAACACCUCAUCAGAGCCAUUUGCAUGGAAUUACUCUUCCUCAGAAUUACAUCAUCCAGAAUGGCAUCCCAAAACACAGAUAUAUCACCAGUAUAAUGAAACUCAUGAAAUUUAAUGUUCCAUUCAAUAAUGUAGUAAAGUUUAUUUCCAG
ensembl:lncRNA